GGGUGAGUAACACGUAUGCAACCUGGCCGUGACAGAUGGAUAACCGGGAGAAAUCCCGCCUAAUACAACAUAAUGCCGGGAAGGGACAUCCCCUGCCGGCCAAAGGGGGCGACCCCGGUCACGGAUGGGCAUGCGGCGCAUUAGGUAGUUGGUGGGGCAACGGCCCACCAAGCCGACGAUGCGUAGGGGUUCUGAGAGGAAGGUCCCCCACAUUGGAACUGAGACACGGUCCAAACUCCUACGGGAGGCAGCAGUGAGGAAUAUUGGUCAAUGGCCGGAAGGCUGAACCAGCCAAGUCGCGUGAGGGAAUAAGGCCCUACGGGUCGUAAACCUCUUUUGCCAGGGAGCAAUGCCGUCCGCGUGUGGACGGAAGGAGAGUACCUGGAGAAAAAGCAUCGGCUAACUCCGUGCCAGCAGCCGCGGUAAUACGGAGGAUGCGAGCGUUAUCCGGAUUUAUUGGGUUUAAAGGGUGCGUAGGCGGCCUGCCAAGUCAGCGGUAAAAUUGCGGGGCUCAACCCCGUACAGCCGUUGAAACUGCCGGGCUCGAGUGGGCGAGAAGUAUGCGGAAUGCGUGGUGUAGCGGUGAAAUGCAUAGAUAUCACGCAGAACCCCGAUUGCGAAGGCAGCAUACCGGCGCCCGACUGACGCUGAGGCACGAAAGUGCGGGGAUCAAACAGGAUUAGAUACCCUGGUAGUCCGCACAGUAAACGAU
rnacentral:rRNA from 1 species